rnacentral:sRNA from 1 species
AAAAACAGAAAAAAAA